rnacentral:rRNA from 1 species
UGGGGAAUCUUGGACAAUGGGGGCAACCCUGAUCCAGCCAUGCCGCGUGAGUGAUGAAGGCCUUAGGGUCGUAAAGCUCUUUCGCCUGUGAAGAUAAUGACGGUAGCAGGUAAAGAAACCCCGGCUAACUCCGUGCCAGCAGCCGCGGUAAUACGGAGGGGGUUAGCGUUGUUCGGAAUUACUGGGCGUAAAGCGCACGUAGGCGGACCAGAAAGUUGGGGGUGAAAUCCCGGGGGCUCAACCCCGGAACUGCCUUUGAUACUGUCAGUCUUGAGUCCGGAAGAGGCGAGUGGAAUACCAAGUGUAGAGGUGAAAUUCGUAGAUAUUUGGAGGAACACCAGUGGCGAAGGCGGCUCACUGGCUCGAUACUGACGCUGAGGUGCGAAAGUGUGGGGAGCAAACAGGAUUAGAUACCCUGGUAGUCCACACCGUAAACGAUGAAUGCCAGUCGUCGGGUAGCAUGCUAUUCGGUGACACACCUAACGGAUUAAGCAUUCCGCCUGGGGAGUACGGUCGCAG